UAAGGAUCCGGUGUUGCCCUGAGCUGUGGUGUAGGUUGCAGAUGCAGCUCAGAUCUGGAGUUGCUGUGGCUGUGGCAUAGGUCAGCUCCAAUUCGACCCCUAGCCUGGGAACUUCCAUAGCUGCGGGGGGAUGCAGCCCAAAAAAGAAAAAAAAGAAAGAAAGAAAAAAAAAGAAAGAAAUGCAGCCUGUAGUAUUGUUGGAAUUCUUAUUUGCCAAGGAAGAAUCAUCUUCAUUUUUGUAGGGAAUAUGGAAAAGCAGUGUGGCUCAUCCAAUCGAUCAUCCAUUCUUUCCUCGGCUUCCCAGAAGACUGAGUCCUUACAGUAUAGAAGCUCUUCUGGUGCUGCUUCCAGACCGUGACCCAUGCUGGCAAAGCUUCUGCUCCCAUGUGGCUGCAUGUUUCAGGAGGAGAGCUACUAAAAUGCAGGCAAGCACAAAGUCUUAAUUGCUUGCUAGUGGGCACUCUGCCAACAUGCUGUUAGCAGAAUGAAACCCAAUCUUAAAGAAAAAGUGCUGAACUCCUGCAUGGAUCACCCAGCCCCAUAUGGAGUGCACGUGUUUUUUUGAGGCAAUGUGGGCAAGGUGGUCUUUUUUUCCACUCUUUUUCAUGGGGAUGUCAAUCUAUGGGUUGCUAGAGCAUUUUAUUCAUAAUGUAAUAAUCCCAACUGCAGACAACUUCAAGAAGCUAAUCUGCACCUCCUCUUUCAAUUUAUGAUAUGGACAAUGAAUAUGUUCUCAGUUUUUUGUUUCUCUCUGAAAACACUGCUUUCAGUGCUCUUUCCAACAAAAUUGUUACUGUUAAGAAUUUCUACAUAGACACUUUGAGAUUGUCAUUGCCUGUUUCUGUUGUUUGCCGAGCACUUAGUCUUUGCGAUUAACGUCCCUAAACCUCAG
ensembl:lncRNA